rnacentral:rRNA from 1 species
UACGUAGGGUGCAAGCGUUAAUCGGAAUUACUGGGCGUAAAGGGCGCGUAGGCGGCCAGCACAAGUCAGUUGUGAAAUCUCCGAGCUUAACUCGGAAAGGUCAACUGAUACUGUGCGGCUAGAGUGCGGAAGGGGCAACUGGAAUUCUUGGUGUAGCGGUGAAAUGCGUAGAUAUCAAGAGGAACACCUGCGGCGAAGGCGGGUUGCUGGGCCGACACUGACGCUGAGGCGCGAAAGCCAGGGGAGCAAACGGG